AGCAGAGAGCAGAGAGCAGAGCAAAGCUGUAAAGACGAGCGAGCGCUGGAGUGGCAAUGGCGCUCCAUCCGCCAUCCUAGCUAGUAGCAUGCAUCCUCCUCCUCCUCUUGGGAGAAGAGCAAUGGAGGCGGUCUCCUCGGACCAGUAUCGCUCCUCCUCCUCCUCCGCCAGCAGCCCCGCGCGCCGCUACUACCUCCCCAAGCCCGGCGCGCUCCGCCGCCCCAUCUCCUUCGAGGACUCGCCCGACUGGGACGACAUCCACCUCGACGACAACAUCCACCUCGCGACGGCAGCCUCCGCCUCCGCAUCCAUCAACAGCAGCGCCUACCCGUCUCCAUCGCCAUCCCUCCCACCCGGGCCCUCCGCCUCCGCCUCCGGUGCUGCUGCAUGCCGGGAGCGCAAGGUGGCUGGGGCCACCCUCGUCUGGAAGGACCUCACCGUCUCCUCCCUCAGCACAAGCACAAACCGCUUCUCCGACCGCCUCGUCAAGAGCUCCAACGGCUACGCGCUGCCGGCCACGCUCACCGUCAUCAUGGGACCCGCCCGCUCGGGCAAAUCCACCCUGCUCCGAGCAAUUGCAGGGAGGUUCAGUGCCGCUGAGAGGAUGUACGGCGAGGUCUCUGUCAAUGGUGCCAAGUCUCGCCUACCCUACGGCUCAUAUGGUUAUGUUGAUCGAGACGAUGUGCUCAUUGACUCUCUCACAGUACGUGAGAUGCUAUACUUCUCGGCACUCCUCCAACUUCCUGGUUUCUUAUCUUCGAAGAAGUCCAUAGUGGAAGAUGCCAUCGCGGCCAUGUCACUAGGUGACCAUGCUGACAAACUGAUUGGCGGCCACUUUUUUACGAAGAAGCUUCCUAAUGGAGAAAGAAGGCGGGUCAGCAUCGCGAGAGAGCUUGUGAUGAGACCGCACGUUUUAUUUAUUGAUGAACCUUUGUAUAAUCUUGACAGUGUUUCUGCACUGCUCUUAAUGGUAACGUUGAAGAAACUUGCAAGCACUGGAUGCACGAUCAUCUUCACAAUGUAUCAGAGCAGCACAGAGGUUUUUGGGCUUUUUGAUCGCAUUUGCUUGCUUUCAAAUGGGAACACACUCUUCUUUGGAGAAACAUUGGCUUGCCUACAGCACUUCUCAAAUGCUGGAUUUCCAUGUCCAAUCAUGCAAAGUCCAUCUGACCAUUUCUUGCGGGCAAUCAAUACCGACUUUGACAGAAUCAUAGCUAUGUGCAAGAACUUACAGGAUGACCAAGGGGAUUUUUCGUCGGUGAGCAUGGACACAGCAGUGGCUAUUCGAACACUUGAAGCAACAUACAAACAAUCAGCUGACUCUGUUGCAGUUGAAUCAAUGAUUGCAAAGUUGACAGAGAAGGAAGGUCCCUACUUAAAAAGUAAAGGCAGGGCCAGUGAUGCCAUAAGAAUCGUGGUUCUAACCUGGAGAUCGUUGCUAAUUAUGUCAAGAGAUUGGAAGUACUACUGGAGCAGGCUGGCCUUGUAUAUGUUUAUUGCUCUGUCAAUCGGGACGAUAUUUUCCGACAUUGGUCAUUCACUAUCAUCUGUAAUGGUAAGGGUUUCUGCAAUAUUUGCGUUUGUAUCAUUCGUCAUCCUUCUAAGUUUUUCUGGAGUACCCGCGCAUAUUGAUGAGGUUAAGAUUUAUUGUCAUGAAGAAACUAACCGGCAUUCUGGGGCAAUGGUCUUCCUGUUAGGGCACUUCCUAUCGAGCAUUCCUUUUCUAUUCCUGGUUUCCAUUUCGUCAUCGUUGGUUUUCUACUACCUGAUAGGGCUGAGGAAUGAGUUCAGCUUCCUGAUGUACUUUGUACUCACCAUCUUUAUGUGCCUACUAGCUAACGAAGCACUGAUGAUGAUUGUCGCAUAUAUCUGGCUGGAGUUGUACAAAUGCACCUUAACUCUCGCUUGCCUACACGUUAUCAUGAUGCUUGUGGCGGGGUAUUUCCGAAAACGAGAAACUUUACCUUAUGCUGUAUGGACUUACCCAUUGUCCUUCAUUUCGUUUCACACAUACGCGGUGCAGGGCUUGGUGGAAAACGAGUAUGUGGGUACAUCCUUUGCUGUGGGAGAGAUAAGGAGUAUACCUGGUGUCCAAGCCGUUCGAGGUUCAUACGAUAUCUCAUCUUCCGCAAACGCAAAGUGGGUGAACCUCCUGGUGUUGCUUCUGAUGGCCAUUGGAUACCGGAUUGUCCUGUACAUGUUGCUUCGGCUAAAUGUGAGGAAACAGGUUGGCAUGGGGAGGGCUGCUUGGUGGUCUAGAAUCCAGAGAGGUGCUAGUGCGAAGUGAGCUCCGUUUGUUAAUGAAUUGUAGGUUGUGGGCAAGAGGAGUUGUUAACUUUGGUCUUGUGUGUAUGCAGUAUCAUAUCAAAUGAUCAAUCAUGGUCUGACAUACGGAUACAUACAUACAUACAUGUAUACCUUCAUUGGUUUGGUGGUUCUUCAA